AUUGAACGCUGGCGGCAGGCCUAACACAUGCAAGUCGAGCGGAUGAAGGGAGCUUGCUCCUGGAUUCAGCGGCGGACGGGUGAGUAAUGCCUAGGAAUCUGCCUGGUAGUGGGGGAUAACGUCCGGAAACGGGCGCUAAUACCGCAUACGUCCUGAGGGAGAAAGUGGGGGAUCUUCGGACCUCACGCUAUCAGAUGAGCCUAGGUCGGAUUAGCUAGUUGGUGGGGUAAAGGCCUACCAAGGCGACGAUCCGUAACUGGUCUGAGAGGAUGAUCAGUCACACUGGAACUGAGACACCGUCCAGGCUCCUACGGGAGGCAGCAGUGGGGAAUAUUGGACAAUGGGCGAAAGCCUGAUCCAGCCAUGCCGCGUGUGUGAAGAAGGUCUUCGGAUUGUAAAGCACUUUAAGUUGGGAGGAAGGGCAGUAAGUUAAUACCUUGCUGUUUUGACGUUACCAACAGAAUAAGCACCGGCUAACUUCGUG
rnacentral:rRNA from 1 species